AAAUGAAUAGACGGGGGCCCGCACAAGCGGUGGAGCAUGUGGUUUAAUUCGAUGGUACGCGAAGAACCUUACCAGGGUUUGACAUAUAUGUGAUGGAUUUAGAGAUAAGUCUUUCUUUUAGACACUUAUACAGGUGCUGCAUGGCUGUCGUCAGCUCGUGUUGUGAGAUGUUGGGUUAAGUCCCGCAACGAGCGCAACCCCUACUGUUAGUUGCCAGCAGGUGAAGCUGGGCACUCUAACGGAACUGCCGGUGACAAAUCGGAGGAAGGUGGGGAUGACGUCAAGUCCUCAUGGCCCUUAUGUCCUGGGCUACACACGUGCUACAAUGGGCUGCACAGAAGGUAGCGAACUUGCGAGAGUAAGCCAAUCCUAAAAACAGUCCUCAGUUCAGAUUGGAGUCUGCAACUCGACUCCAUGAAGUCGGAAUCGCUAGUAAUCACAGAUCAGCAUGCUGUGGUGAAUACGUUCCCGGGCCUUGCACACACCGCCCGU
rnacentral:rRNA from 1 species